rnacentral:miRNA from 1 species
ACUUCUGAUAUUUUUUUUUUUAAGUGUGUGUGUGUGUGUGUGUGUGUGUGUGUGUGUGUAUACACACACACACACACACACACACAGUGUGUUACUUUU